rnacentral:rRNA from 1 species
UACUAUACUGAAAUUAAUAUUGAACACUAAAAUAUUAAGAGAUGAAGUCUUUAAAUUUAAAGAAUUUGGCGGUAAUUUAGUCUUUCCAGAGGAACCUGUUUUUUAAUCGAUAAACCCCGAAAUAUCUUACUUAUUUUAAAAUAACUUAAGAGUUAGAGGUUUGUAUACCAUCAUUAUCAGAUAAUAUUUAAAGAUAAAUUAUUAAGUUUUAAAUAAUAAGAUAAAUUAGAUCAAGGUGCAGCUUAUAAAUAAGUUAAAAUGGGUUACAAUUAAGUUUAUAUAAUAAUGGAAUAGAGGUUGAAACAUUUCUAGGAAGGAGGAUUUGGUUGUAAGUUAGGUUAGUGAGGUAAAAAGAUAUGAGCUCUAAAUUAU